CCUACGGGAUGCUGCAGUGAGGAAUAUUGGUCAAUGGACGAGAGUCUGAACCAGCCAAGUAGCGUGAAGGAUGACUGCCCUAUGGGUUGUAAACUUCUUUUAUAUGGGAAUAAAAUGUUCCACGUGUGGGAUUUUGUAUGUACCAUAUGAAUAAGGAUCGGCUACCUCCGUGCCAGCAGCCGCGGUAAUACGGAGGAUCCGAGCGUUAUCCGGAUUUAUUGGGUUUAAAGGGAGCGUAGGUGGAGUGUUAAGUCAGUUGUGAAAGUUUGCGGCUCAACCGUAAAAUUGCAGUUGAAACUGGCAGUCUUGAGUACAGUAGAGGUGGGCGGAAUUCGUGGUGUAGCGGUGAAAUGCUUAGAUAUCACGAAGAACUCCGAUUGCGAAGGCAGUUCACUGGACUGCAACUGACACUGAGGCUCGAAAGUGUGGGUAUCAAACAGGAUUAGAUACCCUGGUAGUC
rnacentral:rRNA from 1 species